AUCAAAACUUUCAACAACGGAUCUCUUGGCUCUGGCAUCGAUGAAGAACGCAGCGAAACGCGAUAAGUAAUGUGAAUUGCAGAAUCCAGUGAAUCAUCGAAUCUUUGAACGCACAUUGCGCCCGCCAGCAUUCUGGCGGGCAUGCCUGUUCGAGCGUCAUUUCAACCCUCGACCUCCCCUUGGGGGGGUCGGCGUUGGGG
rnacentral:rRNA from 1 species